rnacentral:lncRNA from 10 species
UAGGUUUAAGAACACCUAUGAUAUACACCAGGGGUGACCAACUUUUUCUGUGAAGGGCCAGAUAGUGCAGGAUACAAAUUGGAUGCCUUCUCAGGGCCUCUUCAUUCCUCCCUCCUCCUUGACUCCUUGGCUGAUUCCCAUGGAAGCGAAGAGGAAGAGCAAUUUAAUAGAGUUAUUCUAUUACCUUUUAAGAAUUUCAUACUUUUUAAAGAAAUACUGAAUAAUGGGUUACAAGUUUUCCUCAAAUUUCUGAUGAUUCUUGGCUGCCUGCUCAUGGUUAAGAAUGGGAGGACAAAUGGAAUCGAAUUAAACUUAAGAGAGUUUUGAGUUAUUGUCAAAUAUUCAAAGAGCAAGUGGACACAUACAUCUUCCCAAGACUCAACUAAGAAGAAAUUGAAUAGGAGAAUAGACCAAUAAAAUGUUCUAAAAUUGAGGCAGUAAUUAAUAGCCUACCAACCAAAAAAAGCCUAGGACCAGACAGAUUUACAGUUGUACUCAAAGGUACAAAGAAGAGCUGGUACCAUUUUUACUAAAACAAUUCCAAAUAAUUGAAAAGGAGAGACUACUCCCUAACUCAUUUUAUGAGGCCAGCAUCAUCCUGAUACCAAAACCUGGCAGAGAUACAACAAAAAAACAAAACUUCAGGCCAAUAUCUCUGAUGAACAUCCAUGCAAAAAUCCUCAAUAAAAUACUGGCAAACCGAAUCCAGCAGCACAUCAAAAAGCUUAUUCACCACGAUCAAGUCAGCUUCAUCACCAAGAUGCAAGGCUGGUUCAACAUAUGCAAAUCAAUAAAUGUAAUUCAUCACAUAAACAGAACUAAAGAGAAAAACCUAUGUGAUUAUCUCAAUAGACACAGAAAAGGCCUUCGAUAAAAUUCAACUUCAUGUUAAAAACUCUCAAUAAACUAGGUGUUGAUGGAACAUACCUCAAAUAAGAGCCAUUUAUGACAAGCCCACAGCCAAUAUCAUAGUGAAUGGGCAAAAGCUGGAAGCAUUCUCCUUGAAAACCUGCACAAGAC